UUUUUGAUGGCCGAUUAUAAGCAAUAAACUUUUAAUUUAUUUAUGAGUAACCUCUCUUGC
rnacentral:tRNA from 1 species